rnacentral:lncRNA from 10 species
AGUGACCCCUACUGCUCAUUACGGGAGUGAAGAAAGCCUAGAGCGAAAUCAGGAAAACAACGUGCUGAUUCCUGAGCCUCAGAAAACUGAGAAGUAGGCAGGGCUAUACCAUUUUCUCUGCACUUUAUGAGCAUAAUAAUUCUUCAAAGGACUGGCUGCAUCUACAAAUACCUACUAAAUGGAAACCGUCAAAUCAAAUGGGAGGCUCACAGCAGAUGCCAACUCCACCGAGCGGAUCUGGGCCAGGGUGAAGAAACGGAACUGCAGAGAGGUUAAGCCACCUGGGGCAGGAACUAGGAUGGAAAUCCAGGCAGUCUUGUUGCUGAGACCAUCUCCAUAAUCCUCUGCUAAACUUCUUCCUACCGAGAAAGACAUGUUCUGGGAGAGCAAGGGCUAAGAGGCUGCUCCUUGAUUCCCCCUGAGUGCCCGCCCUCCAGCCCUCACUCCAGUGAGGGGCCUGACCUGAAACAGCUGUCUGCCCUUGCCAGGCUCAGAGUCUCACACUGUCACCAGGCUGGCGUGUAGUGGCGCAAUCUCGGCUCACUGCAACUUCCACCUCCCGGAUUCAAGCAAUUCUUCUGCCUCAGCCUCCUGAGUAGCUGGGACUACAGAACAGAAGCUAAAGCAGAAAGAAGUUUAAUGGAGACCUGGAAGCCUCUCCGUAAAGACUCUGGGGCAGGAAUGGGAUCUGUUUGCAGGGCUCAGGGAGGACCCACGGCUCCUGUGGAGGCUUACGCGGCACCUGAGAAGUGAUCAGUCAGGAAGAGCUACCUGGAGUACCUGAGCCCAACCAGAUAUUCUUUUCCCCGCCGUCUUCCCCGGGAUCCAGCAAUUUAUAUUCCCUACCUCAGGAAAUCUUGGAAAAGUUAUUCCAGCAGAAUGAAGCAAUGUACUAUUCCAGCAGAACAUAGUCAGGACCUGGUGACGUGGGGGUUUGGCAAUGAUCAAUGACCCUGGUGUCAUACUCUAAAUUUGUUUCAAAAGUGGCAGCAGGGGAGAAGGAGGCAGUGAAAUCAAUACUUGAAGUUUGUCUUGAUUGGAUGGGGUGUGUGUUUUCUUUUCCACCCUAGUUGUUGUUGAAGCUGUUUACCAAAAGGCUGUGCAAAUAGGAUUAGUCAGCUCCAGGGCCAUUAAUAACCCGCUGGACAGAGCUGGCUCCAUUCCAAUUGAUUUUUGAAUUUUUGAAGCUGUCCAUUUUUUUGGAGCAGAGAUGAAAGCCCCAGAGGGGCUGGUAUGAAAGCAUGAGAUUUUUGCCUGUACUGGGGCUGAUCCCACAGAUGCAGGAGAUGAAACGUUCUUCCAGUGCCAUUUGCUUUCCAUCUGAAUGAGGCAGGUCCUGCGGCAGCUCUGAAGAGGCAGGGGCCAUCACAAACGAAUAUUGCAGCAGGUCAAGGGGACACUGCUAUUGUGUGCACACUGAUGGAGACCCAGAGUAAAACGUGGCCUGAGGUUUGCCAGAAUGUGCUUAAGAAGCAAACCUCACAUACCUGAAACUCUCUUCGUGCCCUCCUGUCCUUCCAAAAACUAUCAGUUCGAAUAUCCUGAGAAAUGUCACAUAGGUAAGCUGUAGGACCAUCCUUGAGAGGUUGCUGUUGGUAAAAACCAAUGGGGCCAGAAAACAUGAAUUUAUAUCCCAGCACUCUGGGCUAUAACUUUGAGCAAAUUAAUCUCUCUGAUAUUCUAUUAUAGCAAUUGUGAAUUGACAAUGUCAUCAUAGCCCAUUUCUUAUUUCUGAAAAAGUGCUUUUUCUGGAUCUCAUUCACUUAAGAACUCAAAUUCUAAACAUGGAGACCAUCAGAGCCAAGGUCCUUGUUAAAAGAAAUGUAUGUUUUAUAUAUUAAAGUUUAAAAGAAAUAUACAUAUACAUUGAUUUUAGAGUCAUUUGUGCUAUUCUACUUAGCAUUUUAUUUUAAAAAGCAAACUUUGCUUUUUGUGUGUCUCUGAAUCUACCCUAAGACGUGAGGAGAAAGAUGUCUUUUAAAUGAAGGGAAGAAAACUGAGGAUGAUUUGCAGAAAUCUACCCAUAAUAUUCAUGUUGACUAUUUCUGCUUUGUGCUGUGAACAGCUGCACCCUGGGAUAGCAAUCACUGUCUAGCUCUUUACAAAAGCAGAUUCAUUGUAAGAACCAAGACUGGAAUUGUUGCACAGAGGUAGCAAUUUAGACGUUUUUCCUCUCCAACAACUUUAAUAAUUCUACACUUGUUGAUUCAUUCAAAAUACAAUUGAAAGGGGAA